GCUCCGUUGGUGAACCAGCGGAGGGAUCAUUACAGAGUUGCAAAACUCCCAAACCAUUGUGAACGUUACCUAUCCCGUUGCUUCGGCGGGCGGCCCGGGCCCCGCGCCCGGCGCCCCCCGGCCCCCCGUGGGCGCCCGCCGGAGGUAAACCAAACCCUUGAAUUGCAUGGCCUCUCUGAGUCCUCUGUACUGAAUAAGUCAAAACUUUCAACAACGGAUCUCUUGGUUCUG
rnacentral:misc_RNA from 1 species